CCGACCUUGCUGGCCGGUCUCCCUGGAGCUGAAGUGCCUGAGGCCUGCUCUGGCCCAGAGCGCACGUAGCUCGGCUGAAUGUUACACGAGAAAGGGAGAAUCCCGUGUUACCACCCUCCCUGGGGCAUCAUCAUUACGGACGUUACCUUCAGGGAAUCUGAGUGAAGGGCACAUGGAAUCCCUCUUCACUCUGUGGGCAUCCUCCUGUGAG
rnacentral:lncRNA from 1 species